rnacentral:rRNA from 1 species
GGGUUGUGAGGUUAAGCGACUAAGCGUACACGGUGGAUGCCCUGGCAGUCAGAGGCGAUGAAGGACGUGCUAAUCUGCGAUAAGCGUCGGUAAGGUGAUAUGAACCGUUAUAACCGGCGAUUUCCGAAUGGGGAAACCCAGUGUGAUUCGUCACACUAUCAUUAACUGAAUCCAUAGGUUAAUGAGGCGAACCGGGGGAACUGAAACAUCUAAGUACCCCGAGGAAAAGAAAUCAACCGAGAUUCCCCCAGUAGCGGCGAGCGAACGGGGAGCAGCCCAGAGCCUGAAUCAGUGUGUGUGUUAGUGGAAGCGUCUGGAAAGGCGUGCGAUACAGGGUGACAGCCCCGUACACAAAAAUGCACAUAUUGUGAGCUCGAUGAGUAGGGCGGGACACGUGGUAUCCUGUCUGAAUAUGGGGGGACCAUCCUCCAAGGCUAAAUACUCCUGACUGACCGAUAGUGAACCAGUACCGUGAGGGAAAGGCGAAAAGAACCCCGGCGAGGG